AUUGAACGCUGGCGGCAGGCCUACCACAUGCAAGUCGAACGAGUGGCGGACGGGUGAGUAAUGUCUGGGAAACUGCCUGAUGGAGGGGGAUAACUACUGGAAACGGUAGCUAAUACCGCAUACCAUCAGAUGUGCCCAGAGGGGAUUAGCUAGUCGGUGGGGUAACGGCUCACCUAGGCUACGAUCCCUAGCUGUGCUGAGAGGAUAACCUGCCACACUGGAACUGAGACACGGUACAGACUCCUACGGGAGGCAGCAGUGGGGAAUAUUGCACAAUGGGCGCAAGCCUGAUGCAGCCAUGCCGCGUGUAUGAAGAAGGCCUUCGGGUUGGAAAGUACUUUCAGCGGGGAGGCGUUACCCGCAGAAGAAGCACCGGCUAACUCCGUGCCAGCAGCCGCGGUAAUUC
rnacentral:rRNA from 1 species